UAGGGAAUCUUCGGCAAUGGACGCAAGCCUGACCGAGCAACGCCGCGUGCGUGAAGAAGGUUUUCGGACCGUAAAACUCUUUUGUUCGAGACGAACAAGGACGUUAGUAACUGAACGUCCCCUGACGGUAUCUAACCAGCAAGCCACGGCUAACUACGUGCCAGCAGCCGCGGUAAUACGUAGGUGGCAAGCGUUGUCCGGAUUUAUUGGGCGUAAAGCGAGCGCAGGCGGUUUCUUAAGUCUGAUGUGAAAGCCCCCGGCUCAACCGGGGAGGGUCAUUGGAAACUGGGGGACUUGAGUGCAGAAGAGGAGAGUGGAAUUCCAUGUGUAGAGGUGAAAUGCGUAGAUAUAGGGAGGAACACCAGUGGCGAAGGCGGCUAUCUGGUCUGUAACUGACGCUGAGGCGCGAAAGCGUGGGGAGCAAACAGG
rnacentral:rRNA from 1 species